rnacentral:rRNA from 1 species
CCUACGGGAGACAGCAGUGGGGAAUAUUGCACAAUGGGGGGAACCCUGAUGCAGCGACGCCGCGUGGGUGAGGAAGUACUUCGGUAUGUAAAGCCCUAUCAGCAGGGAAGAAAAUGACGGUACCUGACUAAGAAGCCUCGGCUAACUACGUGCCAGCAGCCGCGGUAAUACGUAGGGGGCAAGCGUUAUCCGGAUUUACUGGGUGUAAAGGGAGCGUAGACGGCGUGCCAAGUCUGGUGUGAAAGGCCGGGGCUCAACCCCGGGACUGCAUUGGAAACUGGCAUGCUGGAGUGCCGGAGGGGCAAGCGGAAUUCCUAGUGUAGCGGUGAAAUGCGUAGAUAUUAGGAGGAACAUCAGGGGCGAAGGCGACUUACUGGACUGUAACUGACACUGAGGCACGAAAGCGUGGGGAGCAAACAGGAUUAGAUACCCGGGUAGUC